rnacentral:tRNA from 1 species
GCAAUGGUAGUUCAGUGGUAGAAUUCUCCUCUUCCAUCCCAGAGACCUGGGUUUGAUUUCCAGCCAGUACA